AUCCAGCUCUGGGCCCCUCAGUUUGGAAAGCACCUUGAGUCACUUGAGCGCAUCCAGAGGAGGGCAACAAGGCUGGUGAGGGGCUUGGAACACAAGUCCUGUGAGAAAUGACUGAGGGAGCUGGAGGUGUUUAGCCUGGAGAAAAGGAAACUCAGAGAGGAAGAUCAUCCAGAAUCAACCCAGUAAAAAGAAUUGUCAUAAAAUCUCACACCAUUGACUUGUAAAUGGAAUUGAAUCUGUGGAGUCUACAUAAUGAUCCUAUCAAAAAGGGAAAGAGCUAUCACAUUCAUAUAACAGAUGAGAUAUGAAAUGACUACUAUGGCAGAUGAACACCCCAGAGGUUGAGAGACAAAAAGCACAAUGUGACCUUCUACAAUAUUCUACAUACCACAUUAAGCCCUAGACCCAUAUGUAUCCUCUACGAGCAUAUUAUCAGUAAACAAGGUAAAGAGUGGACAGCAAACAAAGAGAACAAGACUUUGAGAGUUAGAACUGUUGCUAAAUCAAUCCUUCAUAUCUCUUUCCCUUUACAAAAAGGAAAGGAAAUAUUCCAAACUGUGCCCAGAGCAUAGAUAGCAACCUUUGAAUUACAGAGUGGUACUGAAAGUGUAGUGCAUCUAACCUC